rnacentral:rRNA from 1 species
GACGAACGCUGGCGGCGUGCCUAAUACAUGCAAGUAGAACGAGUUGCGAACGGGUGAGUAAUGUCUGGGAAACUGCCUGAUGGAGGGGGAUAACUACUGGAAACGGUAGCUAAUACCGCAUACCAUCAGAUGUGCCCAGAUGGGAUUAGCUUGUUGGUGGGGUAACGGCUCACCAAGGCGACGAUCCCUAGCUGGUCUGAGAGGAUGACCAGCCACACUGGAACUGAGACACGGUCCAGACUCCUACGGGAGGCAGCAGUGGGGAAUAUUGCACAAUGGGCGCAAGCCUGAUGCAGCCAUGCCGCGUGUAUGAAGAAGGCCUUCGGGUUGUAAAGUACUUUCAGCGGGGAGGCGUUACCCGCAGAAGAAGCACCGGCUAACUCCGUGCCAGCAGCCGCGGUAAUAC